UGGCACUCUCCAAAGUGAAAUUUAUUGUAGCUUUUACACUUUGGCUUUUGGUUAUCUACACCCCCCACACUAGUCACCAUCGGGGAAGAAAACUUUUGGUUACGCCGUUUGGAGCUUCUUACUCUUCUCAAAUAUCCUACCGAUGAAGUGGAGCGUUCAUGUUGGCUCCUUGAUUUCUUUAUGGAAAAUGAGAGCGCCCUGCCGCUAGAUCUGUAACACCCCUCGCCCGUAUCC
rnacentral:lncRNA from 1 species